rnacentral:rRNA from 1 species
AAUGAACGUUGGCGGCAUGGAUUAGGCAUGCAAGUCGAGCGAGAAGCUAAAGUUUGAAACUUCGGUCGAUUACUUUAGUGGAAAGCGGCGCAAGGGAGAGUAACGAGUAGUUAUCUACCCCAGGGUCCGGAAUAGCUGCGGGAAACUGCGGGUAAUGCCGGAUGAUAUCCCCGGAUCAAAGGUGCGAUUCCGCCCUGGGAGGAGACUGCUUUGUACUAGCUUGUUGGUGGGGUAAUGGCCUACCAAGGCUACGAUGCAUAGCGGGCGUGAGAGCGUGGCCCGUCUCACUGGGACUGAAACACUGCCCAGACACCUACGGGUGGCUGCAGUCGAGAAUCUUCGGCAAUGGGCGAAAGCCUGACCGAGCAAUGCCGCGUGCGGGAUGAAGGCCUUCGGGUUGUAAACCGCUGUCAGUUGGGAGGAAGGGUCCGUGAAGAGCGGAUCUUGACCUAUCUUCAGAGGAAGUCCGGGCUAAGUUCGUGCCAGCAGCCGCGGUAAUACGAACCGGACAAACGUUAUUCGGAAUUAUUGGGCUUAAAGGGUGCGUAGGCGGUGCGGUAAGUGCGGUGUGAAAUCCCACGGCUCAACCGUGGAAUUGCGCUGCAUACUGCCGUGCUAGAG